rnacentral:tRNA from 1 species
UGGGGUGGGGCUCAGAGGCAGAGUGCUCGCCUAGCAAACGAGAGGCACGGGGUUCCAUCCUCAGCACCACAU